rnacentral:rRNA from 1 species
GACGAACGCUGGCGGCGUGCUUAACACAUGCAAGUCGAACGGAAAGGCCCUGCUUGCAGGGUACUCCAGUGGCGAACGGGUGAGUAACACGUGGGUGAUCUGCCCUGCACUUCGGGAUAAGCCUGGGAAACUGGGUCUAAUACCGGAUAGGAGCCAUUUUUAGUGUGAUGGUUGGAAAGUUUUUUCGGUGUAGGGUGAGCUCGCGGGCUAACGGCUUGUUGGGGGGGUAAUGGCCUACCAAGGCGGCGACGGGUAGCCGGACUGCGAGGGUGGGCGGCCACAUUGGGACUGAGAUGCGGCCCAGACGCCGACGGGAGGCAGCAGGGGGGAAUAUUGCACAAUGGGCGCAAGCCUGGUGCAGCGACGCCGCGUGGGGGAAGACGGCCUUCGGGUUGUAAACUCCUUUCGCUAGGGACGAAGCUUUUUGUGACGGUACCUAGAUAAGAAGCACCGGCUAACUACGUG